AUUGAACGCUGGCGGCAGGCCUAACACAUGCCAGUCGAGCGAACGGCGGACGGGUGAGUAAUGUAUCGGGACUGCACGAUAGAGGGGGAUAACUACACUAAACCGUGGCUAAUCCCGCAUAUUCUCUGCUAACCCAUAUGGGAUUAGCUAGUAGGUAAGGUAAUGGCUUACCUAGGCGAAGAUCCCUAGAUGGUCUGAGAGGAUGAUCAGCCACACUGGGACUGAGACACGGCCCAGACUCCUACGGAGGCAGCAGUGGGGAAUAGUGAACAAUGGGCGCAAGCCUGAUGCAGCCAUGCCGCGUGUAUGAAGAAGGCCCUAGGGUUGUAAAGUACUUUCAGUCGGGAGGCGUUACCGACAGAAGAAGCACCGGCUAACUCCGUGCCAGCAGCCGCGGUAAUAC
rnacentral:rRNA from 1 species